CCUACGGGCGGCAGCAGUGGGGAAUAUUGCACAAUGGGCGCAAGCCUGAUGCAGCCAUGCCGCGUGUGUGAAGAAGGCCUUCGGGUUGUAAAGCACUUCAGCGGGGAGGAAGGCGGUGAGGUUAAUAACCUCAUCGAUUGACGUUACCCGCAGAAGAAGCACCGGCUAACUCCGUGCCAGCAGCCGCGGUAAUACGGAGGGUGCAAGCGUUAAUCGGAAUUACUGGGCGUAAAGCGCACGCAGGCGGUCUGUCAAGUCGGAUGUGAAAUCCCCGGGCUCAACCUGGGAACUGCAUUCGAAACUGGCAGGCUAGAGUCUUGUAGAGGGGGGUAGAAUUCCAGGUGUAGCGGUGAAAUGCGUAGAGAUCUGGAGGAAUACCGGUGGCGAAGGCGGCCCCCUGGACAAAGACUGACGCUCAGGUGCGAAAGCGUGGGGAGCAAACAGGAUUAGAUACCCGUGUAGUC
rnacentral:rRNA from 1 species